CAGCUAGUUGGUGAGGUAAUGGCUCACCAAGGCGACGAUCCGUAACUGGUCUGAGAGGAUGAUCAGUCACACUGGAACUGAGACACGGUCCAGACUCCUACGGGAGGCAGCAGUGGGGAAUAUUGGACAAUGGGCGAAAGCCUGAUCCAGCCAUGCCGCGUGUGUGAAGAAGGUCUUCGGAUUGUAAAGCACUUUAAGUUGGGAGGAAGGGCAUUUACCUAAUACGUAAGUGUUUUGACGUUACCGACAGAAUAAGCACCGGCUAACUCUGUGCCAGCAGCCGCGGUAAUACAGAGGGUGCAAGCGUUAAUCGGAAUUACUGGGCGUAAAGCGCGCGUAGGUGGUUUGUUAAGUUGAAUGUGAAAUCCCCGGGCUCAACCUGGGAACUGCAUCCAAAACUGGCAAGCUAGAGUAUGGUAGAGGGUGGUGGAACUUCCUGUGUAGCGGUGAAAUGCGUAGAUAUAGGAAGGAACACCAGUGGCGAAGGCGACCACCUGGACUGAUACUGACACUGAGGUGCGAAAGCGUGGGGAGCAAACAGGACUAGAUACCCUGGU
rnacentral:rRNA from 1 species